GCAGUCAUGGGGUAGUGGUAACCUGGGUCGUUGCCAUGGAGCCGUGUCCUGGUACUAUACCACCACGUCGACCCGCCCCGAGUUCGAUUCUCGGUGGCUGCA